AGUUUGAUCCUGGCUCAGAUUGAACGCUGGCGGUAUGCCUUACACAUGCAAGUCGAACGGUAGAGGGGCAACCCUUGAGAGUGGCGAACGGGUGAGUAAUACAUCGGAACGUGCCCAGUCGUGGGGGAUAACGUAGCGAAAGCUACGCUAAUACCGCAUACGACCUGAGGGUGAAAGCGGGGGAUCGCAAGACCUCGCGCGAUUGGAGCGGCCGAUGGCAGAUUAGGUAGUUGGUGGGGUAAAGGCCUACCAAGCCUGCGAUCUGUAGCUGGUCUGAGAGGACGACCAGCCACACUGGGACUGAGACACGGCCCAGACUCCUACGGGAGGCAGCAGUGGGGAAUUUUGGACAAUGGGCGCAAGCCUGAUCCAGCCAUACCGCGUGCGGGAAGAAGGCCUUCGGGUUGUAAACCGCUUUUGUCAGGGAAGAAAUCUUCUGGGCUAAUACCUCGGGAGGAUGACGGUACCUGAAGAAUAAGCACCGGCUAACUACGUG
rnacentral:rRNA from 1 species